AUCGGUUUGGUUACAGACCUUAUGAAAGCAGUUUUAGUAAAGCAGUCCUCAGUUCAAGUGUUAUCGACAGAUACUCUUCUUAAUGAGUCUCCUCCUAAGCGCCCCAUAAGUCACUCUAUACUAUCAGGCCAUCAUCGCCACCCUAAGUGGCUCAUCAAUUAAGGAAGUAUUAUGUCUAACAAAAUGACUGGUUUAGUAAAAUGGUUCAACGCUGAUAAAGGUUUCGGCUUCAUCACUCCUGACGACGGCAGCAAAGAUGUAUUCGUACACUUCUCUGCUAUCCAGAGCGACAGCUUCAAAACCCUGGAUGAAGGUCAGAAAGUCUCCUUCACCAUCGAAAACGGCGCUAAAGGCCCGGCUGCUGGCAACGUCACCCCGCUGUAAGCCGCGCUAAUUAUCAGCGACGUUUACAAACGCGAUG
rnacentral:sRNA from 1 species